rnacentral:tRNA from 1 species
GUAUUUUUAGCUCAGUUUGGAUAGAGCAACAGUUUUCUAAACUGUAAGUCAUGGGUUCGAGUCCCGUAAAAUAUA